rnacentral:rRNA from 1 species
GAUGAACGCUGGCGGCGUGCCUAAUACAUGCAAGUCGAGCGAAGCGGGGACGGGUGAGUAACACGUGGAUAACCUCCUAUAAGACUGGGAUAACUACGGGAAACCGUAGCUAAACAGGAUACGUAUAGAUGGAUCCGCGCUGCAGUAGCUAGUGGGUAAGGUACAGGCUGACCAAGGCAACGAUGCAUAGCAGACCUGAGAGGGUUAUCGGCCACACUGGAACUGAGCCCCGGUCCAGACUCCUACGGGAGGCAGCAGUAGGGAAUCUUCCGCAAUGGGCGAAAUCCUGACGGAGCAACGCCGCGUGAGUGAUGAAGGUCUUCGGAUCGUAAAACUCUGUUAUUAGGGAAGCGGUACCUAAUCAGAAAGCCACGGCUAACUACGUGCCAGCAGCCGCGGUAAUUC